GAUCAUGGCUCAGGAUGAACGCUGGCGGCGUGCUUAACACAUGCAAGUCGAACGGGAAAUACUUUAUUGAAACUUCGGUCGAUUUAAUUUAUUUCUAGUGGCGGACGGGUGAGUAACGCGUGGGUAACCUGCCUUAUACUGGGGGAUAACAGCCAGAAAUGGCUGCUAAUACCGCAUAAGCGCACAGAACCGCAUGGUUCCGUGUGAAAAACUCCGGUGGUAUAAGAUGGACCCGCGUUGGAUUAGCUGGUUGG
rnacentral:rRNA from 1 species